UGUUCCCAUUGGUUCCCUACCCUCCC
rnacentral:piRNA from 1 species